CCUGCCCCUAGAAGCAUUGCAGGUGUGACUGCUGUGUCAUGUGUGUGUCAGUAAGUGACAGAGAGGCUAUGUCUACGCUCAGUGUUCUUACCUAUGAACAUCUGAAUAAUGAAUGGCCGAAAUU
rnacentral:snoRNA from 1 species